rnacentral:rRNA from 1 species
CCUACGGGUGGCAGCAGUGGGGAAUAUUGCACAAUGGGGGAAACCCUGAUGCAGCAACGCCGCGUGAGUGAUGACGGCCUUCGGGUUGUAAAGCUCUGUCUUCAGGGACGAUAAUGACGGUACCUGAAGAAAAAGCAUCGGCUAACUCCGUGCCAGCAGCCGCGGUAAUACGGAGGAUGCGAGCGUUAUCCGGAUUUAUUGGGUUUAAAGGGUGCGUAGGCGGAAUGCCAAGUCAGCGGUAAAAUCGCGGGGCUCAACCUCGCUCCGCCGUUGAAACUGGCGUUCUUGAGUGGGCGAGAAGUAUGCGGAAUGCGUGGUGUAGCGGUGAAAUGCAUAGAUAUCACGCAGAACUCCGAUUGCGAAGGCAGCAUACCGGCGCCCAACUGACGCUGAAGCACGAAAGCGUGGGUAUCGAACAGGAUUAGAUACCCCUGUAGUC